rnacentral:rRNA from 1 species
GGCAAGCGUUGUCCGGAAUUAUUGGGCGUAAAGGGUGCGUAGGCGGUCUAUUAAGUCUGGUUUGAAAGCCCAUGGCUUAACCAUGGAUUGAGAUUGGAAACUGAUAGACUUGAGGACAGGAGAGGAAGGUGGAAUUCCACGUGUAGCGGUGAAAUGCGUAGAGAUGUGGAGGAACACCAGUGGCGAAGGCGGCCUUCUGGCCUGUGACUGACGCUGAUGCACGAAAGCGUGGGUAGCAAACAGGAUUAGAUACCCUGGUAGUCCACGCCGUAAACGAUGAGUACUAAGUGUCGGGGGAAACCUCGGUGCUGAAGUUAACGCAUUAAGUACUCCGCCUGGGGAGUACGGCCGCAAGGCUGAAACUCAAAGGAAUUGACGGGGGCCCGCACAAGCGGUGGAGCAUGUGGUUUAAUUCGAAGCAACGCGAAGAACCUUACCAGGUCUUGACAUCCUCUGACAACCCUAGAGAUAGGGCUUUCCCCUUCGGGGGACAGAGU